GAUGAACGCUGGCGGCGUGCCUAAUACAUGCAAGUCGAGCGAACAGAUGAGAAGCUUGCUUCUCUGAUGUUAGCGGCGGACGGGUGAGUAACACGUGGGUAACCUACCUAUAAGACUGGGAUAACUCCGGGAAACCGGGGCUAAUACCGGAUAAUAUUUUGAACUGCAUGGUUCAAUAGUGAAAGACGGUUUCGGCUGUCACUUCUAGAUGGACCCGCGCCGUAUUAGCUAGUUGGUAAGGUAACGGCUUACCAAGGCGACGAUACGUAGCCGACCUGAGAGGGUGAUCGGCCACACUGGAACUGAGACACGGUCCAGACUCCUACGGGAGGCAGCAGUAGGGAAUCUUCCGCAAUGGGCGAAAGCCUGACGGAGCAACGCCGCGUGAGUGAUGAAGGUCUUCGGAUCGUAAAACUCUGUUGUUAGGGAAGAACAAAUUUGUUAGUAACUGAACAAGUCUUGACGGUACCUAACCAGAAAGCCACGGCUAACUACGUGCCAGCCGCCGCAGUAA
rnacentral:rRNA from 1 species